CCUACGGGAUGCAGCAGUAGGGAAUCUUCGGCAAUGGACGAAAGUCUGACCGAGCAACGCCGCGUGAGUGAAGAAGGUUUUCGGAUCGUAAAACUCCGUUGUUAGAGAAGAACAAGGACGUUAGUAACUGAACGUCCCCUGACGGUAUCUAACCAGAAAGCCACGGCUAACUACGUGCCAGCAGCCGCGGUAAUACGUAGGUGGCAAGCGUUGUCCGGAUUUAUUGGGCGUAAAGCGAGCGCAGGCGGUUUCUUAAGUCUGAUGUGAAAGCCCCCGGCUCAACCGGGGAGGGUCAUUGGAAACUGGGAGACUUGAGUACAGAAGAGGAGAGUGGAAUUCCAUGUGUAGCGGUGAAAUGCGUAGAUAUAUGGAGGAACACCAGUGGCGAAGGCGGCUCUCUGGUCUGUAACUGACGCUGAGGCUCGAAAGCGUGGGGAGCAAACAGGAUUAGAUACCCCUGUAGUC
rnacentral:rRNA from 1 species